GUGCUUGCUUUGGCAGCACAUAUACUAAAAUUGGAAUGAUACAGAGAAGAGUAGCAUGGUCCCUAUAUAAAGAUGAAAAACAAAUUCAUGAAGCAUUCCAUAAUUUU
ensembl:snRNA U6 U6 spliceosomal RNA